GACGAACGCUGGCGGCGUGCUUAACACAUGCAAGUCGAACGGAAAGGCCCUGCUUUUGUGGGGUGCUCGAGUGGCGAACGGGUGAGUAACACGUGAGUAACCUGCCCUUGACUUUGGGAUAACUUCAGGAAACUGGGGCUAAUACCGGAUAGGAGCUCCUGCUGCAUGGUGGGGGUUGGAAAGUUUCGGCGGUUGGGGAUGGACUCGCGGCUUAUCAGCUUGUUGGUGGGGUAGUGGCUUACCAAGGCUUGGACGGGUAGCCGGCCUGAGAGGGUGACCGGCCACAUUGGGACUGAGAUACGGCCCAGACUCCUACGGGAGGCAGCAGUGGGGAAUAUUGCACAAUGGGCGGAAGCCUGAUGCAGCAACGCCGCGUGCGGGAUGACGGCCUUCGGGUUGUAAACCGCUUUCGCCUGUGACGAAGCGUGAGUGACGGUAAUGGGUAAAGAAGCACCGGCUAAGUACGUG
rnacentral:rRNA from 1 species